UGGGGAAUUUUGGACAAUGGGCGAAAGCCUGAUCCAGCAAUGCCGCGUGUGUGAAGAAGGCCUUCGGGUUGUAAAGCACUUUUGUCCGGAAAGAAAUCCUUGGCUCUAAUACAGUCGGGGGAUGACGGUACCGGAAGAAUAAGCACCGGCUAACUACGCGCCAGCAGCCGCGGUAAUACGUAGGGUGCAAGCGUUAAUCGGAAUUACUGGGCGUAAAGCGUGCGCAGGCGGUUUGCUAAGACCGAUGUGAAAUCCCCGGGCUCAACCUGGGAACUGCAUUGGUGACUGGCAGGCUAGAGUAUGGGCAGAGGGGGGUUAGAAUUCCACGUGUANCAGUGAAAUGCGUAGAGAUGUGGAGGAAUACCGAUGGCGAAGGCAGCCCCCUGGGCCAAUA
rnacentral:rRNA from 1 species